CAACGCUGGCGGCGUGCCUAACACAUGCAAGUCGAGCGCGAAAGGGGAGCAAUCCCCGAGUAGAGCGGCGAACGGGUGAGUAACGCGUGGGUAAUCUGCCUCCGAGUGGGGAAUAACAGCGGGAAACUGCUGCUAAUACCGCAUGACAUCGUCGAGCCCUCGGGCCUGACGAUCAAAGCCGGGGACCGCAAGGCCUGGCGCUUGGAGAGGAGCCCGCGUCCGAUUAGCUAGUUGGCGGGGUAAUGGCCCACCAAGGCUCCGAUCGGUAGCCGGCCUGAGAGGGCGGACGGCCACACUGGGACUGAGACACGGCCCAGACUCCUACGGGAGGCAGCAGUGGGGAAUUUUUCGCAAUGGGGGAAACCCUGACGAAGCAACGCCGCGUGGAGGAUGAAGGCCUUCGGGUCGUAAACUCCUGUCGACCGGGACGAACGCUAUUGGGCCCAAUACGCCCGGUAGUCGACUGUACCGGUGGAGGAAGCCACGGCUAACUCUGUGCCAGCAGCCGCGGUAAUACAGAGGUGGCAAGCGUUGUUCGGAAUUACUGGGCGUAAAGGGCGCGUAGGCGGUCUGGUCAGUCCCUUGUGAAAUCCCUCGGCUCAACUGAGGAACUGCACGGGAAACAGCCGGGCUUGAGUUCGGGAGAGGGAAGCGGAAUUCCGGGUGUAGCGGUGAAAUGCGUAGAUAUCCGGAGGAACACCGGUGGCGAAGGCGGCUUCCUGGACCGAUACUGACGCUGAGGCGCGAAA
rnacentral:rRNA from 1 species